ensembl:lncRNA
CAUCAUUCUCUACAAAAACAUUUCACAAAAGAAUCCAUAUAAAAAUACAUCUAGCAACAUACACCCAUAAGAAUAGUGGUAGGAAGACCUGUUCAGACAAUGUCCGGUUCACCUGGGGAGAAAAAGGAAGUUAAGGGAAACAAGUCGAAUGAGGAGGACUCAUUUUCGGGACCUUUCACUGGAGACAGGAGUUCCCAUGAAAAGCACCUGGGGCAGAGACCUAAGGGCCCAGAAGGCAAAGGACCAAAGUCUGGAGGAAUAAGUAGCAUUCAGAGAAAACGUCUAGGCCCCCCCACUCCCAGAGUCCCCUGCUGGGAGGUGUGACUCAGUCGACCUCUUCUUCAUUGGUGGGCCCGGGGUGCGGUUGGUCUGCCGGGCCUGGGCCCGCAGCUGCUGCCUGCAGCAGGUUUGCCGGGUGCCUGGUAGAGUUGGGCGAUGACGGGGUAGCGAAGGCGCUGCAACUCUUUCUUCGGGUGCUCGUACUCGCCCUUGUUGGCCAGCUGGUUGUCCUCCAACCAGGAGAGGACCUGCUGGCACAGAAUUCUGCAGCACCUCCCGUCUUCUUCCUGGAUCUUGUCCCGAUGGCAAGAGCUCUGGAGGUGGAAGAUAUAGGCCCCGAGGGCGUUCUUAGCAGCCACUUCUCCGCUGAGCCUAGUGCUCGGCCUUGUACUUCUCCUGCACCAUCCUCUCCACCUCCUCCUUACUGAGCCAGCCCUUGGCGUUGGUGAUGGUGAUCCCGUUGGCCUUGCCCGUGCCCUUGUCCGUAGCCGAGACGUUCAAGAUGCCAUUGGCGUCUUGUCAUUAGUCCAAGGUGACUUCGACCUGGGGUCCCCCCCACGGCGCAGGGGGGAUGCCGGACGUUCAGAACGUUUCAGCAGGGUUAAUGUCCCGGGGCAUGUCCGGUUCCCCUCUUACACUUGGAUCAGGACUCCCGGCUAGUUGUCAGAAGGAGGUUGGUCUUUGUCUGCCUGGUGGAGUUUCUCUUGAUGAGGGUAUUCAACACCCCGCCUGCUGUCUCCAGGCCCAGGGAUCGGGGGAGGCGGAGGGGGCCUUCUUCGACCUGUCCCCCCAUCAACGCGGCCGUCUGCACCGCUGCUGCGCAGGCCACAGCUUCGUCGGGGCUGAUGCUCUUGUUCAGCUCCUUGUCACUGAAAAAGUUCUGCAGCAGCUUCUGCACCUUAGGGAUGCGGGCGGAGCCCCUACCAGCGCGAUGUCAUGGCUCUGACCUUGUCCGUCUCGGCGCCUUCCCCGGGGGCUCCAGCGUCGCCCGGAAGAUCAGCGAAAGCCACGUAGCUCCGCGCGGUGCGGUCGCCCUGGUCACUGGCGAAGACCCCCCCUCGGCCGUGCCGGGACGCGCCCACGCAGGAGGAGGUCGUGCCCGGGUCGAUAAUCGCCGCUGCCUGAGAGGUAACCAUGGCUCGGGGACACCUGCCCUCCUUCCUUCCUUCCUUCCUUCGGCCCGGGCCGAGAACAAGCGGCCUCUGGGCGGCUCCUGGCACAGCCGGCGGAUGGCAAGGAAACAGGUUAAACGGGGCCCGGAUGGUCGGUUUGGGAGGCUGAGCUCCCACACGGCCGGACCUCCUGGUCCUCCUGGUCUUUGGUGUCGCCGACUGACGCGCGCUCCGCUGCCGCUGCCGCUGCCGCUGCAGAGAAGGGGUCCUGGAUCAGGGCAGCUCUGAGCCUCGCUCUCGGAUGCUCCCCGCGCUGGCCCCGGGACCGCCUCCGCCGGACAACUUUGGGGCAGCCGCGAGCCCCGGAGGAAGGUUCUGGGGGAGUCCGCGCCUCGGCCUGACGAGCACCGAUAGGAGCCAGGUCUCCGCGGAGGUUCGGAGAGCCCGGAACCCCGGGAGGAUGGGGACGGGGGAGGAGAAGGGCGCUGGGCUGCGGGCUGGGGCCCGGGAGAAGCUUACGGACUUGGGAAUUCAGCCCUCCGGGUCCCAGCCGCUGCCGGGGCUCCGGACUGUCCGGGUCGGGGUGGAGCGCCGGGAGCGCCGCCUCUGCCCUCGGAGUGGGCUCGGCUGGGGCUGGAGCCGCAUCAACCGAGCAAAGGUGGAAGCUUCGGAGUUCCCCGGGCGGGGGUGAAGCCUUACGCAGAGGAGGCGGCCCUGGAAGAUCCCUGAAGCAGUCGCAUUGGUGGUUCAGUGGUAGAAUUCUCGCCUGCCACGCGGGAGGCCCGGGUUCGAUUCCCGGCCAAUGCAAUAAGUGUUUUUUGUUUUUAAUUUUUUUUCCCUUGCCUGGAUCAUCUCUUUUUACACUUGAUAGGUGCCUGAGUCCGUAUAGUUGAACUUUCUCAAACAAUUCACGCAAUUCGAGAGCUCCCCCAUCGCACCCUCUAUCUCCUCGGUUCCUUCCCUCCGCCCCCGCUUCCUAGAGGCUGCCCGUCUGCCCCGGUGCCUUCCCUGAGCAGCUUUCCUACGGAGCCCACCGGGCACCCAGCCUCAGCCAACCGUCCUCGGGCGCAGAGCUCGCGCGCUGAGGCCCCUAAAGAUGAGCCAGUCCUGGCCCUGGGGAAUUCGGAAUCGGCGUGGGGAGGGGAGUCCGAGAGGCAGCAAAACGUCUUUCCCUGACCGGGAAUCGAACCCGGGCCGCGGCGGUGAGAGCGCCGAAUCCUAACCACUAGACCACCAGGGAACCCGUAUGUUCCCUUUCACUCGUCACCCACACAACUGAAAGACAACAGCUGUCGGCCUUCAAACCGCGCUGGCCAGCGACCCCACACACUGAACCGCCGGCCUCUUCGCCUCGGGCUCUCCCUCCUCCCCAAGCUUCAACUUCCUCCCCAGCUCUC